rnacentral:rRNA from 1 species
GUGAGGAAUAUUGGUCAAUGGGCGGGAGCCUGAACCAGCCAAGUCGCGUGAAGGAAGAAGGAUCUAUGGUUCGUAAACUUCUUUUGCAGGGGAAUAAAGUGCGGGACGUGUCCUGUUUUGUAUGUACCCUGAGAAUAAGGAUCGGCUAACUCCGUGCCAGCAGCCGCGGUAAUACGGAGGAUCCGAGCGUUAUCCGGAUUUAUUGGGUUUAAAGGGUGCGUAGGUGGUUUGAUAAGUCAGCGGUGAAAGUUUGCAGCUUAACUGUAAAAAUGCCGUUGAAACUGUCGGACUUGAGUGUAAAUGAGGUAGGCGGAAUGCGUGGUGUAGCGGUGAAAUGCAUAGAUAUCACGCAGAACUCCGAUUGCGAAGGCAGCUUACUGAGCUACAACUGACACUGAAGCACGAAAGCGUGGGGAUCAAACAGGAUUAGAAACCCUAGUAGUCC